rnacentral:rRNA from 1 species
GAUGAACGCUAGCGGCAGGCCUAAUACAUGCAAGUCGAACGGGAUUGAGGAGCUUGCUCCUCAUGAGAGUGGCGCACGGGUGCGUAACACGUAUGUAACCUACCUUAAUCAGGGGAAUAGCCUCUCGAAAGAGAGAUUAACACACCAUAAAAUCACACUAUGGCAUCAUAGAAUGAUCAAAUAUUUAUAGGAUUAAGAUGGGCAUGCGGAACAUUAGCUAGUUGGUAAGGUAACGGCUUACCAAGGCUACGAUGUUUAGGGGAUCUGAGAGGAUGGCCCCCCACACUGGUACUGAGACACGGACCAGACUCCUACGGGAGGAAGCAGUAAGGAAUAUUGGUCAAUGGGCGGAAGCCUGAACCAGCCAUGCCGCGUGCAGGAAGACGGCCCUACGGGUUGUAAACUGCUUUUGUACCGGAAUAAACCUUUCUACGUGUAGGAAGCUGAAUGUACGGUAAGAAUAAGGAUCGGCUAACUCCGUGCCAGCAGCCGCAGUAA